rnacentral:rRNA from 1 species
ACAGCGAAAGGUGCUUGCACCUUUCAGUGAGUGGCGAACGGGUGAGUAACACGUGGACAACCUGCCUCAAGGCUGGGGAUAACAUUUGGAAACAGAUGCUAAUACCGAAUAAAACUUAGUGUCGCAUGACACAAAGUUAAAAGGCGCUUCGGCGUCACCUAGAGAUGGAUCCGCGGUGCAUUAGUUAGUUGGUGGGGUAAAGGCCUACCAAGACAAUGAUGCAUAGCCGAGUUGAGAGACUGAUCGGCCACAUUGGGACUGAGACACGGCCCAAACUCCUACGGGAGGCUGCAGUAGGGAAUCUUCCACAAUGGGCGAAAGCCUGAUGGAGCAACGCCGCGUGUGUGAUGAAGGCUUUCGGGUCGUAAAGCACUGUUGUAUGGGAAGAACAGCUAGAAUAGGAAAUGAUUUUAGUUUGACGGUACCAUACCAGAAAGGGACGGCUAAAUACGUGCCAGCAGCCGCGGUAAUACGUAUGUCCCGAGCGUUAUCCGGAUUUAUUGGGCGUAAAGCGAGCGCAGACGGUUUAUUAAGUCUGAUGUGAAAGCCCGGAGCUCAACUCCGGAAUGGCAUUGGAAACUGGUUAACUUGAGUGCAGUAGAGGUAAGUGGAACUCCAUGUGUAGCGUUGGAAUGCGUAGAUAUAUGGAAGAACACCAGUGGCGAAGGCGGCUUACUGGACUGCAACUGACGUUGAGGCUCGAAAGUGUGGGUAGCAAACAGGAUUAGAUACCCUGGUAGUCCACACCGUAAACGAUGAACACUAGGUGUUAGGAGGUUUCCGCCUCUUAGUGCCGAAGCUAACGCAUUAAGUGUUCCGCCUGGGGAGUACGACCGCAAGGUUGAAACUCAAAGGAAUUGACGGGGACCCGCACAAGCGGUGGAGCAUGUGGUUUAAUUCGAAGCAACGCGAAGAACCUUACCAGGUCUUGACAUCCUUUGAAGCUUUUAGAGAUAGAAGUGUUCUCUUCGGAGACAAAGUGACAGGUGGUGCAUGGUCGUCGUCAGCUCGUGUCGUGAGAUGUUGGGUUAAGUCCCGCAACGAGCGCAACCCUUAUUGUUAGUUGCCAGCAUUCAGAUGGGCACUCUAGCGAGACUGCCGGUGACAAACCGGAGGAAGGCGGGGACGACGUCAGAUCAUCAUGCCCCUUAUGACCUGGGCUACACACGUGCUACAAUGGCGUAUACAACGAGUUGCCAACCCGCGAGGGUGAGCUAAUCUCUUAAAGUACGUCUCAGUUCGGAUUGUAGUCUGCAACUCGACUACAUGAAGUCGGAAUCGCUAGUAAUCGCGGAUCAGCACGCCGCGGUGAAUACGUUCCCGGGUCUUGUACACACCGCCCGUCACACCAUGGGAGUUUGU